GUAAAGAGCUCGUAGGCGGCUUGUCGCGUCGGAUGUGAAAGCCCGGGGCUUAACCCCGGGUCUGCAUUCGAUACGGGCAGGCUAGAGUUCGGUAGGGGAGAUCGGAAUUCCUGGUGUAGCGGUGAAAUGCGCAGAUAUCAGGAGGAACACCGGGUGGCGAAGGCGGAUCUCUGGGCCGAUACUGACGCUGAGGAGCGAAAGCGUGGGGAGCGAACAGGAUUAGAUACCCUGGUAGUCCCGCCGUAAACGUUGGGAACUAGGUGUGGGCGACAUUCCACGUCGUCCGUGCCGCAGCUAACGCAUUAAGUUCCCCGCCUGGGGAGUACGGCCGCAAGGCUAAAACUCAAAGGAAUUGACGGGGGCCCGCACAAGCAGCGGAGCAUGUGGCUUAAUUCGACGCAACGCGAAGAACCUUACCAAGGCUUGACAUACACCGGAAAACCCUGGAGACAGGGUCCCCCUUGUGGUCGGUGUACAGGUGGUGCAUGGGCUGUCGUCAGCUCGUGUCGUGAGAUGUUGGGGUUAAGUCCCGCAACGAGCGCAACCCUUGUUCUGUGUUGCCAGCAUGCCCUUCGGGGUGAUGGGGACUCACAGGAGACUGCCGGGGUCAACUCGGAGGAAGGUGGGGGACGACGUCAAGUCAUCAUGCCCCUUAUGUCUUGGGCUGCACACGUGCUACAAUGGCCGGUACAAUGAGCUGCGAUACCGCGAGGUGGAGCGAAUCUCAAAAAGCCGGUCUCAGUUCGGAUUGGGGUCUGCAACUCGACCCCAUGAAAGUCGGAGUUGCUAGUAAUCGCAGAUCAGCAUUGCUGCGGUGAAUACGUUCCCGGGCCUUGUACACACCGCCCGUCACGUCACGAAAGUCGGUAACACCCGAAGCCGGUGGCCCAACCCCUUGUGGGAAGGAAUCGUCGAAAGUGGGACUGGCGAUUGGGACGAAAUCGUAACAAGGUAGCC
rnacentral:rRNA from 1 species